AAAAGAAAGAAAGAAAGAAAGAAUUUCCCCUAAAUUAACUAAAAAGUUAAAAAAAAAACAUGCGGCAACCCAUUCUUCAUCCUUCUGCGUGCGAGCUUCAUCCUUCACCAUUCAGCACGAACUCAACCUUCAACCCUUUAGCGCUUUAAUCCUUCAACCUUCAUCCUUCAAUGCAAACUCAUCAUUCAUCCUUCAACACGAAUCAGAUGAAUUUCAUCCAUUUUUCUUGCACCCUGAUUCUCCCUCGUCGCGACUCCAAUUCAUAAUCGCUCCGAUGGCGGAGGAUAACACCAAUCUCGACGCCGACACCAAUGAUUCUUCUUGACCUCCGUCCUCUUUCGUUAAAAAAUUCAACAGUCAAAUUUUCACCGUCGAUCAUUGGUAAAGAGACACCAAAAUAGUAUCGUGGAAGAAAGUUGUUAAAGACCCCAAUAUGGUCAACAAUAGAUCAUUUUCCACUACCGAGCAACUUCCAAAACUGAACCCUCUGCUUGACGCUAGAAUCACUUCUGGAUGGCAAGGAACUUGUGGACCAGAAGAGAUAUCUCAAAGACUCUUGCAAACCAAAGUGUGUGAAACCAUUAGUUGAAUAUCAGAUGUGAUUUCUUGAAUUGUAUAGUAAUUAGCUUGAUCUUUGAAGUUGAGCUUUAUUCUUAAUGUAGUCAAGUUUUUUUCUUUUUGAUUUUAAAAUUGAGAGUAGAAAGGUGAUGCAUUUGGUUUAUGCAUUUACAGAUUUACUGGUUGAUUACAUUACCCCUUUUCCACCUGUAAAAUUUAUGUUGUGGCCUACUUAAAACUAUAAUUAAAGCAUUAGAUAAAGUUGAGUGUAUAUGAGAAGUUGAAAGAAGGGAGUACUAGAAAGAGUCAAGAAAUGAAGAUAACUAUUGAUUCAACUCAAAAGUAUAUCACACAAACUGAUGCGGGAUUAAGUUGAUGCAAGAAUAACUAUUGAUAAAGUUGAUGCAUGAUUCUUUAUGUAGUAACUAUUGAAUGCAAAAACAACAUGGUUUUGAAGUGAGUAUGGAUUGUAACAGUUCUACCUUGUUGUAUUUGUGAACAAUCUACACUAUAUAUUCCAUAAGCAUAAUUUGAUGCUAUUUGAAGUGGUAUUUGUGGAAUUCUAGUUUUAGCUACACGCCACAUUGAGAUUGAGAAUUUGUGUUUGAUGGUGGAGGCUGAAACUGCGGAUUUGUGAUAGGAACAUAUCCUGAUGAUGGUGGUGAUGGAGGUGGAGAAGAAUUCGCAGGUUGUUGUGUACCUAGAAUUGUAAUAGAAGUCGUUGUAACUGGAUUUGUUACAGAUAGUGAUGCUGGAAUACACAAGUUGUUGUGUACCUCAACUUAAUAGGUUUGGACAUCUAUGGAGGAGAACUAUGUUUAAAAAUUACUAUAAAGUUGUCUUAGUUUGUAAAUGGUCAAACUUUUAUAGACUUGGUUACUUAUUACAAUUAUCAAAAGCUCAACCAAAUUUUACUGUGUUUUUUCUUGCUUAGACUUUGACUUCUGAUUUUGCUCUGAUGUAUUUACAAGAAGAUUGUUGGAAGGAAAAGACAAGAGAGGAGGGAAGAGACAAGAAUUGAUAGAGAGUGUGAUAUUGGUGAUUGGUAUUUUUUGUCUGGUUAUGAAUCUGAUGACUCUGAUUGGUCUAUUGGGUGGUUGGAACCUUUUGGUUCUGAUUUUGAUGAUAAUGAUGAUGAUGAGUCUGGUGGUGAUAUUUUUGUUGUUUUGGCUCCUUGUUAUUCACCUGGAUGCAAGGAGAUUAAAGGUUCAAACAAUGUGCUUUUGAGGGUCAUUUAGAAUCUCCCUAAUGGAUUUUCUUUUGGUAAGAUUUUUCUUUAUUGAAUAUUUUAGUUUUGGUCUUCUUAUUGAUUGGUUAAACUUCUGAUGAAGAAGUUUGUAUAAGUUCAUAAUUUUACUUAUAGUUCUCAAUUCCACAUUAUAUAAUCAACAUGCAAAUCAACUUAAAUUUAAUAAUUGAAUUAAUUUAACUAGAGGAAUUUAUUCCAAGCUUGGCAAUGAAGUCUAUGUCAAUAUCAAUGCAAACUCACUUUUGUUCCUCUCAAACGAUAAAAACCCUGUUACGACAUCCAUACCUUACUUUGGGACCAUUGAAGAGAUUUGGAAUGUCAAUUUCAUUAAAUUUAAAGUACCUAUUUUUAAAUAUAAAUGGAUUGACAUCAAUAGUGGUGUUAAAAUUGAUGAAUUUGGUUUUACAUCGGUGGUCCUUAAAUAGGUAGCGUAUAACUAUAUGGAAGGCGUUUGUUCAGAAACGACGGGAUCCUUCCUUUAUGGUUAGUUAGAUUGACUAAAAGGAGUUAUUAUCUAAAUUAUUAAUUAUUUUAAUUGUGAUGUGCUAUUAAAGUAAUAAAUAAUUUAUAAUUGAAGGGUAAUUUGUGUCUGAUAUUCUUAUUUUGAAUUGGUUCAUAUUUGAUUGAAUCUCUACAAUUGACUUUUUCUUUGUUUGGUUUGUAAGAUUUUGGAUUUGAUCUAUGAGAGGGGGGAUGGUUUACGGAGAAUAAAGUAGGGGUACAGAGUCCCCUUCAAAGGAUGUAGAUCUCAACAGAUUUUAAUUGUGAUAUUAAUAGAUUUUUUAAAAUGCGAUUAUUGAUAUCUUUACUUGAAUUUCAUAAGUUUCUUUUGUUCUUUGUUUAAUUUGUUAAUUUUGUCCCAGUUUGAUUAUUUCAUUUAAUGUCUAUUCCUAAUAAUAGCUUUAAGAGUAUGGCCAAAUACAUUUAUAAAGCUUAAUAUGCUCUUUAACUUGUGGAUAUUCAAGCUUUAAAUUGGACGAACGGUGACAUAGAAAAUAAUUGGAUAACAUUUAGAAAAGUUUUAAGUCCUCCAACAUGACGGCAAAUGUCAAGUAAACACGGGUCCAUUACAUAUAUCCAGUCUUGAAUCUGCAAUUGUUUUGUUGUUAUCACAUAUAUGUAUUUGUCUGUCUUAGAUUGUGUUCCUCUACCAUGCAUUCUCGAAGAUAUUGGGUAUUGUAAAUAUUUCUAGAAUAAUUUUCUAAUGGAGAGUAAUGUGGAACGUAAUGUGAAUGAUCUGGCAGUUGAAAGGAUUGCAUACAUUGAUCCUUUAGAACAGAUAAACUAAAGAUGCAUUCGCAUUGUCAAAAGUGUAGCGGUCGACCAUGGUGGAUGUGCCCUGUACGGGUGUUUCAUUCAGCUUUGUGAUGGUUUCUUGGGCGCUAAUGGGUUAAAUUGUUGUGUUGAUUUCGUGCUUGCAGCAAACAAUGAAAUCUUUGACCAAGGACUGUGAAUAAUAGUAAUCAUUCAAGUGAUUUGGUUAUGUUAGUUUAUAUGAAUCUUUUUAUGUUAAUCCUAAUUGUUAAUAUUAUUACUAUCUUUUAUGUAUACUCAGACUUGUGAUUUGUUUGUGUUUUCAUGUUAAGUAUAAUGUAUGUGUCAACAUAGUUGAUGCCAUCAUGUGACUCCUUCGGUCAAGGCAUGUUCAAAUCGAUUAUGUCUAUAAUUACAUUAGUAUUUUGCUUC